rnacentral:rRNA from 1 species
GCAAAUAUUUAGCCCAACAUGAAUCCAAAAAAAAAUAUUAAACAAAUAAAACCAAAACAUUUAAUCAUUUAAGUAUAGGUGAUAGAAAAUUUUAUACGGGCGCUAUAACGUAAGUACCGCAAGGGAAACAUGAAAGAAUCAUCAACUUUUAAAGCAGAAAAAAGCAAAGAUUAAAUCUUCUACCUUUUGCAUAAUGACUUAGCCAGAAUAAAUCGGACAAAAAGAAUUAUGCCUGAAACCCCGAAAUUAAGUGAGCUACUGCUAAACAGUCAACAGGACCAACUCGUCUAUGUAGCAAAAUAGUGAGAUGAUUUACCAGUAGAGGUGAAAAGCCUAACGAACUUAAUGAUAGCUGGUUAUCCAAAAAUCGAAUUUCAGUUCAACUUUAAAUUUAAUAAAAAUAAUACUAAAUAACACUUAAAUUUAAAAGCUAUUCAAAAGGGGGACAACUCUUUUGAUAUGUAAACAAACUUCAUUAGAGGGUAAUGAUAUUAACUUUCCAUUGUAGGCUUAAAAGCAGCCACCAAUUAAGAAAGCGUUAAAGCUCAAACUAAUAUUACAUUUAAUUCCACUCAUAUAACAAAACCCCUAAAAAAAUAUUGGAUGAUUCUAUUCAAUUUUAGAAGACAUAAUGCUAAGAUUAGUAACAAGAAUUAAUUCUCCAUGCACAAGCUUAAGUUAGCAACGGAACACCCACUAAUAAUUAACAAAACAAUUUAAAUAAUCAUAAACUAGCUCAUCCUAACAACUAUUGUUAACCCAACACAGGUGUGCACACAAGGAAAGAUUAAAAAGAAUAAAAGGAACUCGGCAAACAAAAACCCCGCCUGUUUACCAAAAACAUCACCUCUAGCAUUAUAAGUAUUAGAGGCACUGCCUGCCCAGUGAGCUAUUUAACUUCAACGGCCGCGGUAUCCUGACCGUGCAAAGGUAGCAUAAUCACUUGUCUUUUAAAUAGAGACUAGUAUGAAUGGCUUAACGAGGGUUUAACUGUCUCUUAUUCUCAAUCAGUGAAAUUGACCUCCCCGUGCAGAGGCGGGGAUAUACAUAUAAGACGAGAAGACCCUGUGGAGCUUAAGAUCCAUGUCUUAAUUUAUUACAAAAAAUCCCCCAGGGCUAUUAAUGCAUAGCUACUAAGACAUAGACCUUUGGUUGGGGUGACCUCGGAGCAUAAAACAACCUCCGAAUGAUUAUAACCAAGAUUAACCAAUUUAAGUGCAUAAAAGCCAGUAAUUGACCCAAAUAUUGAUCAACGGAACAAGUUACCCCAGGGAUAACAGCGCAAUCCUACUUAAGAGCCCAUAUCGACUUAGGGUUUACGACCUCGAUGUUGGAUCAGGACAUCCCAAUGGUGCAACCGCUAUUAAAGGUUCGUUUGUUCAACGAUUAAAGUCCUACGUGAUCUGAGUUCAGACCGGAGAAAUCCAGGUCGGUUUCUAUCUAUAUAACAAUUUCUCCCAGUACGAAAGGACAAGAGAAAUAAGGCCUACAUUAACUCAUGCGCCUUUAACAUAAGUUAUGAAACACAUCUAAAUAACAAAACUUAACUAGUUUCUUCUCUAGAAAAGAGCC